UACGUAGGCAGCAAGCGUUGUUCGGAGUUACUGGGCGUAAAGGGCGCGCAGGCGGCCUGUCAGGUGUCUGGUGAAAGCUCCCGGCUUAACUGGGAGAGGUCCAGGCAAACCGUCAGGCUUGAGCGUCGGAGAGGGGCAUGGAAUUCCGGGUGGAGCGGUGAAAUGCGUAGAGAUCCGGAGGAACACCAAUGGCGAAGGCAGUGCCCUGGCCGACGGCUGACGCUCAGGCGCGAAAGCGUGGGGAGCAAACAGG
rnacentral:rRNA from 1 species